AACCUCCGCUCGAUCCAGAGCCCCCCGGUGGAGACAAGGAACACAGGGACCAUUCUUAACCCUUGGGGAGGAUCUUCGCCCGUUGGUAAACGAGGACGCGCUCCAGCCAGACGAGCCCCAGGCGCGGGGUCCCCGGGGCUCCUGGCCGCGCCGUCGGAGCAGCCGGCGCGGCCCCGCCCUCCCCGCGCGCGGAGCGGCCGGGGCGGGGACUACAAGUCCCGGCGUGCCGCGCGCGCGCUCCCCCCUGGGGUUCCGGAUGGUGAGCGGCGAAGCAGCCGGGCGCCCGCGUCGCUGCCACCGCCGGAAGACAGACGUCCCCCAAAACCCCUCGCCUGGCUCGGACCCACGGAGCCGGCAGCCCAGCACUCCGAUGGGAGCUUGCCUGAUUGUCAACCCAUCGGCCUGGACCCCAGAGCCCACCCAGUUGAGCGUGUGCAGAGGGCCCCGAGUGCGGGGCGACGCUCAGGCCGUUGCAGAGACCACCCUGGAGAUGCUGAUGAAGACAGGCCUUUCCUGCUGAGCCCAGCCUAUCUUCGCAGCCUGCUC
rnacentral:lncRNA from 1 species